ensembl:lncRNA
UUUUUAUUCUGGAAUAUAUUGCUCCCUCUGUGUGUCUAUGUCCCAGGCUUCUUUAUUUAAGAGCAGAGUGGAAACAGUGGGGAUUACAGUCAGGAGUAUGGCCGAACUUCACCUUCCCUCCAGCCAGUUCCCCCAAACUCUGGGUCCCCACCCCCUCUGUGUGGCCAAUUCCUUUCUUAGUGAAUGAAGAACUUAAUCCCUGAAGCCUGGGUACAAACCCCAAGGUUUUCUCCUAGCGCCUCCCUUUCCUCUGGCCCCCAUUCCUGAGAAGGGCAGGUACCGCAGUUUGAAUGCACGGGAGAGCCCAGAGUGUUGAUAGACGCAGCAAGAAAGGCUUCACUCUCAUGGAAAGAGGCCAAGGAGGCCAGUGUAGAGACAUGAGGAUACCCACAGCCUGGGGUAUUACCUGGGGCCUUGGUGCCAGAGGAAAGGAUACUGGUCCCCCCACCCGCCCCCGCCCAAGAAAGGAGGGGCCAGGAUCACAGUCCUCUCGCUGCAAAUAGUCACUGCUUGACCACUUGCCCUUCUGCUGCCAGCUGCAGAACCACACAAGGACCACGUCCUUCUCAAGCCUGAGCUGCUGGGUAAUGUCGGGGAUUCUGCUGCACUGUGGGUUUUAGGCACUUAUGUUGAGAUGGAUUCUGAGGCUAUAUUUAGGAUGAGCAGGAAGAAAUGCUGUUAUUAAUGAUACCCUCGUGUGUGUGUGUGUGUGUGUGUGUGUGUGUGUGUGUGUGUGUGCGCGCGCGCGCGCGCGCGCGCAUGCGUGCGCUUUUCAGGGCUGCACCCGUGGCAUGUGGAGGUUCUCAGGCUAGGGGUCUAAUCAGAACUACAGCUGCCAGUCUACACCACAGCUCAUGGCAACACUGGAUCCUUAACCCACUGAGUGAGGUUAGGGAUCGAACCUGCAACCUCAUGGUUCCUAGUUGGAUUUGUUUCUGCUGUGCCAUGACAGGAACUCCAGCUUUUGUCUUUAUGAGUUAUACCUACUGAUAUUAGAAAUAAAAAUGGAGGAGUUCCCUGGUGGCUGAGUGGGUUAAGAAUCCAUCAUUGUCACUGCUGUGGCUCCAGUUCAAUCCCUGGCCGAGGAACUUCUGCAUGUCAGGGGUACGGCCGAAAAAAGGUAAUUUUAAAAUAUUUAUCUUAAAGAACAACAUCAUAUAUUAACACAACUACCACAUUUAAAUGAAAGAAACUAUCUUUACAAAACAAAAAAAAAAUUAUUGUUUUACCUUCUCAGAUCUCUUUGUGGACUGAUUUAAUAGAAUUGAAACGGAUUCUCAUAUCUGCUUAUUUAUUUUUUAUUUAUUAUGGCCUCACCCACAGCAUAGAAAGUUCCUGGGCCAGGGACUGAAUCCUAGCUGCAGCUGUGGCAACUCUGGAUCCUUUAACCUACUGUGCUGGGUUAGGGAUUGAACCUGCACCUCUGCAGCGACCUGAGCCACUGCAGUCAUAUUCUUAACCCACCACAGUGGGAAUUCCCAUAUGCACCUUUUUAUGCAAUUUGUUGCAGUAUCUUGUUUUGGUGGAAAUAUAUGAACAUGAUGUUGUUGGAAAAGAGAGGGAGUAUUUCCAUAGCCUUUCCAAAAAAUUGUGUUUAUUUUCUGAUACUACACU